UCCUAUUUGUAUUUCAAGCUCAUAAAUUAUCUCAGGAGUUCUGAUGUGUAAGAAAACUUUUUGUUUUAUUAUUAUACUUUAAGUUCUAGGUUACAUGUGCAGAAAGUGCAGUUUUGUUACAUAGGUAUACAUGUGCCCUGGUGGUUUGCUGCACCCAUCAACCCAUCCACCUACAUUAGGUAUUUCUCCUAAUGUUAUCCCUCCCCUAUCCCCCCCACCCCCUGACAAGUCCUGGUGUGUGAUGUUCCCCUUGGAUGACUCUCUUACUUGGCCAUUUGAUGAUUUUGGACUGCAGCUUUGAAAGACCAAAUUGUAGCAUGCUGCAUAGCUUUCAAAGAAUUUAGAUAUUUUUUUCUGGUUGGCAUACGUUAUGAUUUUAAAAUAAUUAAAUUGUGUGAAAUUUGUUCUUAUAUCAGGUGACUAUACCAUCACCAUAAAUUGCUAGUCAUGAAAAUACAUACAGUUGACCCUUGAACAAUGUUUGAACUGUGCUGGUCCACUUAUAUAUUCAUUUGUUCAAUAAAUAUAUUAGAAAGUUUUUUGGAGAUUUGUGACAAUUUGAAAAAACUCUUGGGUGAACUUUGUAGACUAGAAAUAUCAAAAAAAAAAGAAAAAAAAUGUAUAUUAUGAAUGCAUAACAUAUAUAUAGAUACUAGUCUAUUUACGUGUUAAUCGACUUUUUGUUAUUGAUGAAGCUCCCGGUCAACAGCAUUAUUAGUUAAGCUUUUGGGGAAUCAAAAGUUAUAUGUAGAUUUUUCCACUGUGCAGGGGAUAGGUACCCCAUACCUCCACACUGUUUAAGGGUCAACUGUUUUCCAAUGAAAUUAAGAAGUCCAGCCAGGCUCAGUGGCAUGCACCUGGAGUCCCAGCUAUUUGGGAGGCUUAAGUGGGAGGAUUGCUUGAGGCCAGGAGUUCAAGGCCACAGUGUGCUAUGACUGCAUUUGUGAAUAGCCCCUGCACUCCACCCUGGACAUCAUAGCAAGACUUUGCCUCUAAAAAGGCGGAGAAGGAGUCUAAUAUUCAGUGUGAUAGUGUUACUCAUGGCAAAUUCAUAUAGGUCUGCAGCAACCUCAGUACCUGCCUCUUCAGAAGAAAGAAUUCAACUGAGGAAGCAUAAGGCAGAAGGAGAGACUGAGGCAAGUUUUAGAGCAGGAGUGAAAGUUUACUUAAAAGCUUUACAGCAGGAGCAAAAGAAAGGAAAGUACACUUGGAAGAGGGCCAAGCAGGUGACUUGAAAGACAAGUGUAUGGCUUGACCUUUUGACUUGGGGUUUUUAUAUGAUGGCAUACCUCCAGGGUCUUGCAUUACUUCUGACCACCUGCCCAACUCCUGAGAUCUUAUUGAGAAGCCACUCGUCACCAGUUUUAGGUGUUUUCUAUCUACUAGGAGCCCGCCUUUCCCUGGCGCCAGCUGUGACCAAUUAUUAUUUCAGAGAAACAGUUAACAACUAUCUAACCAUCGCUGAUGGUUUCCCGACACUCCUGGUGUGAGGUAUGGGAGCCCUUUCCUGCCCUGCUCAUACCCAACUAGCUACCAACUAUAACAGUAGCACUCAAAGUGAUAGCUAACAUUUUGGUCACCUUUAUUAACCAGAUUCUACCAUGACAUAUGCGUUGUAUAAAUGAUUUUUUUUCAUUGCCAUAGCAACUCCAUAGGCUAGUAUUCAUUAUAUCUGUUUUUUUAGGAAACUGAAAUCGAGACUCAGAGAGGUUAAGUAACAUCCCCAAACCAGACAGCUAAUAUGAAACAGAGCCAUAUUUGAUCUCUCAUCUUUUAAAUUAACAUAAAAUAUGAAACAAAGAAUUCCGAGAAAAUAUAAGUGAAACUGGGUCUGGUUUAGGGUUAAGAAAGUCAUUUCUAGGCCAAAAUCCAAGAAGGAAACUGUAAAUAAAAAUUUUGUUUUUUUAUCUUCUUAUAAAUUUUAAAAUUUUUGUGUCAAAAUAAGCUAAAUGAAAUUUAAGAUAAUAAAUUUAAGUGAUUAUACUAUAAAUGACAGAAAAAUGGUUUUAUUUUAAUGAGUAUUAUGUUUUAUGUGAUCAAAUCUAUUAGUCUUUUUAAAAAAAAUUAUGUCCUGGGAGUUGUACAUAGAAAAGCCUUCCCCAAAUAUUUUGUUUUCAUUUUCAUACAUUGAAAUGUUCAAUCCAUCUGGAAUUUAUUAGACAUAUAGUGUGAGGUAUGGAUUUAGCCAGCUAUCACAAUAUCGUUUAUUAAUAAUAAACAAUUUAUUUUAUUUAAAUGGCUAAAUCCUUCCAUCCUUUCAUUGUUCUUUCUCAUUUAUUGAACUUAUAUACAUCCUUGCCUGUUUCUGAACUUCCUGUUUUAUUCCAUUGAUCUGUACCAGCAAAAUACUGUUUUUAUUAUUGUAGCUUAUUUAUACUUUACAAAAGUGUUCUUGGUUAGUCCCUAAAAUGUAUUCCUCCAAAUGAACUUUUUAUUUAUUUAUUUAUUUAUUUAUUUAUUUAUUUAUUUAUUUAUUGAGAGGGAGUCUCACUCUGACGCCCAGGCUGUAGUGCAGUGGCACGAUCUCGGCUCACUGCAACCUCCGCCUCCUGAGUUCAAGCAUUUCUCCAGCCUCAGCCUCCUGCAUAGCUGGGAUUACAGGUGCAUGCCACCAUGCCCAGCUAAUUUUUUGUAUUUCUAGUGGAGAUAAAGUUUUACCAUGUUAGCCAGGCUGGUCUCCUGACCUCAGGUGAUCCACCCACCUCAGCCUCGCAAAGUUCUGGGAUUACAGGCAUGAGCCACCACACCUGGCCAACCUCUGAAUGAACUUUAAAUGACUUUUUACCGAGGUCUUUACUCCACCCCUACAAAAUGCAAAUGGGACCUUGAGUGAUGUUACAAUAUGUUUAUAAAUUAUAUGAAAAUGUCGUAUCUGUAAUAGUGAGUUUCUCCAACUUCGUAUGUGGUAUGCCUCUCCUUUUAUGCAAGCAGUAGAGUCACUUUUUUUCAUAUAGUUCUUAGUAGUAGUCUAUUAAAUUUAUCACCAUAAGUUUCUUUGUUGUUGUUACAGAAAGUGACUUUGUUAGCUCCAUUAAGAUUUUCUGGUAUAAUCCCAAGAUAUUUGUAAAACCUUUUCUAUUAUGCAUCUUUGUAUGAAAUUUAGACAUACUUGUGAAAUGUAAAAAUGUACUAAGCUUUAUUUUUUAAUAACCAAAAAGAUUAAAUGUUUAUUUUAAAUUUUAACUUAUUUUAUAAAUAAAUAUUUCCUCACCUUCUGGUAGCUUAGACCUAUCAACUAGGUUUGAACAGAGACUUUUACUUAAUGAGACUGAAAUGUUAUUAACCAUGAAAUUUAUACCUAUUAAAAAUAUUAUCCAAGAGGGCCUGAGGGAAAAAAAGAAAAAGGAAAAAGUAUUAUCUAAGGUAUGCCUAUGAUUUUGCUCAUAUCGUUUGAAGUAGAUUAUUACUGCCUGUAGUUUGCAAAGCCAUUUACUAAAUGAUUGAAAUUUUUCUGAUCUAACUUCACUGGAGAUUUCAUUGUACAUUAAUGACUGUAUGGUUUAGAGAAUUAAUCAAAAAUCAGAAGUUAGAGCAUCAGUAGCUUCCUCUUAUAUGGCUGAUUAUUUUACUUGAUAUGACCUUGAAUAAGUCACAUUUUCUUUCCAUGCUUCACUUCUUUUAUCAAUAAAAUGAAAUAAAGAGUGCUGAUAUAGUCAAGGAUGCCUUUAUCAAUUAACUACUUUCAGAUUAUUAUUUGGCUUCAGAUGAUAAAAUAUUAUGAAAAUACAUAAAGGCCAAAUGAGGCAUCUGGCUAUAGGUCUUCAAAGUGAAAAUCCAAGUGACACAAGACAAGUUGUCUGAUCAGUGAGCACUUUGUUCCUAAGAUCAGCUCUUCAUUAGGGGGACAUCCUUUAGAUGCAGAGUGACCAUAAAACUUAUUGCCCAAUUAAACACCCUUUGAAAGGCAGCUCUAAUCAGAAAAGAUGUUCGGACAAGUGGCGCAAACCAGAACUGUCACACGCAAACUGGAAUAUAUUGUUAUCCUAUUUAUAUGGCAAGAAGAGAAAGAGGGGAACAUGCUACUUCUCUUUAAUCUUUCCCUAAUGUGAUGUUUACUGAGCUAUGUGUCAUGGGUGUAGAGCUCAGAAAGUAUGGCUUCAGUUUAUAUUUUGUCAUUAUCCAUUAUUUUAUUUAUUUAUUUAUUUUUAUAGCAAACAAUUGUAGAACAUGUUUUACUUGCUGGAUUGUGAUAGGAUCAAACAAUUCAUUUCUACUGUUCUCCUAGAACUCAUAGUGAGUUUGAGAGGUCAAAGAUCUUAGCAUGAAUACAGAAAUUUGUUUUCUUUGAAUAUUGCUAAUUGUGACCCAGUCAAUUUUGUGAUUAUAGGAAUAAAUUAUGGUAUUUAUAAUAUGAGACAUUCUAGAAUGUUCUUUCACUGUUAAUGUUCUCUUAUGCUUUGCUGGUUGUAACUACAAAGAUCUUAAAUUUGUGUGUUAAAGAUAGCGUUGAUGGUAAAAUGUUCAGCUGAGUAAUCAAAUACUAGUUUUCUAUUAAUGGCAAAAGAAUUUUUGAAGUAAUAAUGCCCACUGCUGGCAAUGCUACAGUAAAGUAGAUACCCUCAUAUAGCUGGUGACAACUAUGGGAAAAACAUAUUGAAAGCCUUGGAGUAUUUCUAUAACUUUUGUCCCAGAAUUCUACUUCUUAGAAUCUAAGCAAAGGAAGAGAGUGGCAGCAGGACUACAAAAUGGAAAGCUAUCUGCACAGAUGUUCAUGGAAGGAGUAUUUGUGAUCAUUAACAAUGGAAAUAAUAUGCAUGUUUACAGAUACAUCCCACCUUCCCUCCUCUAAGAAACCUCCCAUGGCACCCAUAGUCUGCAUCAGUCCGUAUGUGUGUUUUCAUAGCACUUUGCCUUCCUAUACUAUAGUGGUGUAGCCAAGAGUCAAAAUAGCUCUGUACUCCUGGGCAAGUUACUCAUCUCACUGUGCGUAGGUUUCCUCACUCUGUAAAACGAAGAUAACAGUACCUGCCCUAUCAAAUAUCAUUGUGCCUAGCAAAUAGUAAUUGCUCAACAAAUGAUAGUAGUUAUUAUUAUUAUUACUAUUACAGCACAGUGUCUGUUUGCUCAUGUGAGACUGUGAGUACACAUAGUAGAGAAGAGAUUUUUUCUUGCCUGGCAUAUAAAAGCUCUUCAAUAAGUGAUUUUUGAAAGAAAGGAAGGAAGAGUUUAGUUAAAUAAAUUAUAUUUUUUGCACUCAGUGAAAAAGUAUGUCACACUUUAUAGAGAAGACCCUAUAACAGUGUUUCCUAGCCUUGGUUGCACAUCAGAAUCACCUAGCCAGUUUUUUAAAUACUGAUGUCCAGACUCACCCCCAGAGAUUCUAAUUUUUUUUUUUUUUUUGAAACAGAGUCUCACUCUGUUGCCCAGGCUGGAGUGCAGUGGUGCAAUCUCGACUCACUGCAACCUCUGCUUCCUGGGUUCAAGCUAUUCUCCUGCCUCAGCCUCCCGAGUAGCUGGGACUACAGGUGCAUGCCACCACGCCCAGCUAAUUUUUUGUAUUUUUAGUAGAGACAGCGUUUUGCUGUGUUAGCCAGGAUGGUCUUGAUUGCCUGACCUUGUGAUCUGCCCGCCUUGGCCUCCCAAAGUGCUGGGAUUACAGACGUAAGCUACCACACCUGGCCAAGAUUCUAAUUUUUUUAAACAAUUUUAAACUUUUAGAAAAGUUGCAGUUAAUGUACAAUAAAUUUUUUAUGAACAUUUGAGAGUAAGUCAUCAACAUUAUGUGCAUACUUCUGAAUCCUUUAGUGUGUAUUUUUAACAUAAAAGGGCAUUUUUUUUACAUAAUCACAUUACAAGCAUCCAAAUAAGGAAAUCAACAUUCAUUUAUUACUACCAUCUAAUCCUUAGACUCCAUUCAGAUUUCACCAAUUGUCUCAAUAAGAUUCUUUGUUAGCAAAAGGAUCCAGGUCAGGAUCAUGCAUUGCAUUUAGUUUUCUCCUUAGUCUCUUUCAAUCUAGAUCAGUUUCUGAAUUUUUCCUUGACUUUCAUGACCUUAACACCUUUAAAGAUAACAAGUAGAGAUUCUAAUUUAAUUGAUCCAUUUAUCCCUUUGCUCAUCAGAAAUUUUUCUAGAUGGCUUCCACCUACAGUUCUAACAAGAUACUGGCAAAUUUAUUUUGCUGUAUGGUGUACAUUACUCAUACGAGAAGUCAUUUGUUGGCUCCCCCUUGUCUAUGAAAAUGAAUGAUGCCUUUGUGAUGUUAUGACUCAACCUCGUGUACGCCUCCCCUCUUCUCCACUUCAGUGUUAGUUGUCAUCUCACUCAUGUCACCAAUGAUACUUCUGAGAGGCAGUUUUACUUUCUCCUCGCUUCCUUCAUCUUUCCCCAGGAUUCGUUGAAACACAUCUUUGGGAAUCAUUGUAUGUGGGGAAAAUAAUAUCUACUUCUUUGCCUUUCACUUUACCUCUAAACCUCUGGUCUUUUCCAAGGACCUUCUUUUUCUGAUUUUCUCUUACGGGAACAACCAAAACUUUGCAUGUACUAAAAUUGAGAACCUCAAUGUUGCUGAAUGGGUAUGUGGUAGAAUAUUCAAGUAUGUUCGAAUUUUAAUUCUGUAUGCCAAAAUGAUAGGUCAAUCAUUCAUUUAGGUACUUUUAUUAUUAUUAUUAUUUUGAGACAAGGUCUCACCCUGUCUCCUGGGCUGGAUCGCAAUGUCAUUAUCAUGGCUCACUGCAGCUUUCACCUCCUGGGCUCAAGCAAUCCUCCUGCCUUAGCCUCCGGAGACGCUAGGACCGUAGGCUGUGCGACCAUGCCCAAAUAAUUUUUUUUUUUGUAAAGAUAGGGUCUCAUGAUGUUGCCCAGGCUGGUCUUGAACUCCUGGGUUUGAGCAAUUCUCCAGCCUCAGCCUCCCAACGUUCUGGGAUUAUAGGUGAGAGUCACCAUGGCUGGCCUGUAUUUAUAUUUUUUAAACAUUAAAACACUUCACUGAGAACACAGCAGUAAACAGAAUACAUGUGGCUCUUAUCUUCACAGAGCUCACCUUUCAGGAGACAGUUAUGUAUAGCAAAUAUUUUAUAGGAUGAUGAAAACAUGGGUCUUUCCUGUUUUUUUUUUCUAAAUGUUUUGUAACUUGGUGAUACCACUUUUGUGAUUAUAAAAGUUCAAGAAGCAUAUAAAAUAUUUAAUUGUAUGUAUAAGUGUAAUUGCCCAACGGGUUCUUCCUGCCCCCUGCACAGAGAAAAUCAGUUCACCAAGACUGUGGUAUUGAAGUUACCAUUUUAAUUGACAAGAGGCCGCCCACAUAAGAGAUGGAAUUAUUACUCAGAUCAGUCUCCCCAAAGGAUAAAAGGUUAAGGUUUUUAUGGACAAUUUGGUGGGCAAGGGUAGGAAGUGUGUACUGCUGACUGACUGGGGAUGAAAUCAUAGAGAUGUAGAAAACGGUCCUCCUGUGCUGAGUCUACCUCUGGGUGGGGCCACAGGAUCAGUUGAGUCAUAAGUCAGGGUCAAGGUGAGGUCCAUCGGUUGCCAGAAUGCACAUCUAAAAAACAUCUCAAAAGACCAAUCUUAGGUUUUACGAUAGUGAUGUUACCUACGGGAUCAAUUGGGGAGAUCACAAAUCUUGUGACCUCUGAACCACAUGACCCCUGAGCAAUAAAGCAUUAUAGAACCUACGUCUACAUUUUAGCAGCAUUCAGGCCCCUCCCAUAAUAUUAAUAUUGUGGCUUUUCAUUAGUUUUACAAAGACAAUUUUCAGUUCCUGAGCCAGGAAGGGGUUAGUUCUUGUUUUCAGGUGAAACUAUAGACUGAAUUCCUCUCAUGGUGAGCUUGGCUGACACCCAAGAAUGAGGGAAGACAGCCAGUCUGUGAGGCCAAAAGCAAGAUGGAGUCAGCUAUGCUAGACUCCUCUCACUGUCAUAAUCUUUGCAAAGUCAGUUUCAUAAGUAGUUGAUCAAAUCUGAAUUUGGAUACAUAAUUAUUUCUGCAUGGAUUCUUAUUCUGGUACACUCUGGGGGAAAAAAUAGUGAAUCAAGGAUUAAUCAGAAAUAAACAUAGGUGCAGGGUGACUAAGAUGAUUGGACAGGCCACAAUUUCUUGGCCAUGAUUAACGCAGGCCUCCGCACAUACUGACACUCAUAAUUUAUCUUUAGUUUUAGUUUCUAUCUUGAAAGAAGAAGAGUUGUGAUUUUUACUAGUACAUUGUCAAAGAGGGAACAACUUGUACAAAUACAAAAGCAAACAGCUUUCUCUCAGAGAUCUAAAAAUAGUGCAAUAAGACUGGGGCUUUGACCAGGAGGUAGAAAAUGGCAAGAGAUAAAGCUGGAAACGUCAGCAGGGGCCUUGUAAAGUCAUAUUAAGACAACUGAACUUCAUCUUCAGGCCAUUAGGGAUCCAAAUAAAUGUUUUACCCGGGGAAUAGCACAAUCAUAUCUGUGUUAUAGAGGUCACUCUGGCUGCAGUGUAGAGAACAGAUGAAAGGGCCCUGGGGGGUUGGGCAGGGAAACAAGUGGGUGGAGUCUAGGGGACAGAGACUAGGUUGAAGUCUAUUAAGUAAUUCAGGAGAAAAUUCUGGUUUCCUGAAUUGCUAUGGCAGAAGGGAUAGCCAGAAGCAGUGAGCUUCAAAAGACAUUUAGUGGGGUAGAACAGACAGCCUCAGAGACUAAUUGGAUGUGAAAGGUAGCCUGUGGGAAUGAAUCCAGAUUAAUGCCUAUCCCCAAGCAAACAUGAUAGUACCAUCUUUAUCUGUGAUACCAAAAUCUAAAAAUCUAAAAAUAUCUGAAAACCAAAGUUUUUUCAUAAGUUUAAUGGUAAAGCCUAACCUGAUCUUAUAUCGUUGUGUAUCAUUAAACAGUUUUGUUUCAGUAGCUUGACAAAACAUUUAAUGUAUAUCAUUUUUAUUUAACCUAUUUAGUGUGACUCUCCACGCUGCUGUAAAAAUAUUAAUGUAUUUGAUGAUGAGUGACUUCCCAGACCCCUUGAAGUAUUAUAUAAUAUAUACUAUAUAUUCCAGAUUAUUAUUGUAAAUUCCAAAACAUCUGGCACCAGGAGUCUUGAAUAAGAGAUAGUAGACAAAGUUUGAAGUGGCCAUGGAGAAAGUGCUGAUGACAGAAUAUAUAUUUAUGGGUUAUAUUUACAAUUCAGUUGAUUUAGGAGAUUACAUGUAUUAUGGUGUUAUUAUUUUCUAGUGAACAGUUUGGCCCAGGGGUGAGGUUUUUACAGGAGGGUACGAUGAGGAAAGAUAAUUGAGGAUGUUAGCAACUGUAGUUGAAGUUAUAAACAAGGAAAGAUGUGAUGGCAGGAGGUGCUUGAAGAAAGGGAGAAAGUAGAUAGGCCAAAGGACCGAAUGCUUUUCUAAAGUACCUACAGAGACCCCAGGAAUAACAGGGAAAGAGCUGUGUCACGGUACACUUCAGAAGUGGAGCUUUCCAUGGUAAUGGAUGAUAUGGUUCCGAGUGUGGCCAUGGAAGGAGGUAGCCAGUGUGGAGUGGAGAUCGGUAUCAGUCACUAGAGAUAUGUAAGUCUAGGAACUGAGAGAAGCUUUCAUGUUGAGUGGCAUUGAAAUCACCUUGGAUCAUGGUUAGGUUAGGAGGUAGGGUGGAGAGGAAAAUGGUGACUCAAAGUCUGAAUUCUUUCACAAACGAGGGAAGUUUGUGAACCAAAGGUGUGACAGCAACAAGAAGAAAAGAUCUAGCCAGAUGGCAUAAGCCUCAAAAAGUCAGGAGUUCAUAUAUAAGGGGAGGUCUUAAAGUAGCACUGGGACAAAGGAUAGAACUACUCCUACCCUCCUGGCCAGAGAUUCUUCUCCUGAGGACUCCAAGGAAUUGAUGCCCUUAGGGGAUAUCCAAGUUUCAUUUAAGGCUAAGAGGCCUAUGAAGAGAUUCAAGUUUCAAGGGAGUUUACAAUGGCAUUGAAGUUCUGCAGAAAGCAAUAGGAAUAGUUAGAGAUUGGGGAAGGGAAGAAGAAUCUCAGAGCCAUGUGAGAAUAGCAGGAUGGGAGAAAAGAGGUGAAUAUAAUGGCCUCCAUGUUGGUGGGUUGGGGUGUGACAAAUUAAUAAUUUUCUGGUGACUAGUAAAUAGAGACCCUAAAAUCAUCUUUAAAACUGAGAACUUUUAUUUUUCUGCCACAUAAUUUGAGAUCUGAAGGUAGGCAUGUGGGACUGGUAUGGCAGCUCCAUAAUACCAUCAGUCACCCAGUCUCCUCCUCCUUGGUACUGUCAUCAUCUUUAGUAAUGUGCUUUUUGCCUUGUUGCCACAGAAUGUUGUCAGAACUCGAGUUAUCACUUCUUUUUUCCAGGCAUAAAGAAAGAAGAGUGAGGGCAAAAGGCAAAGAAUGCCAGCUGAGCUAACACUUCCUCUCUCGCCCACCUUUAAGCUUUUCCAAAAACCAAAGCCCUCACCCAACAGCUUCUGGUUAUUUUUGUUGUUGCUGGGAUUUAGUACUGUGGCCGCCCCUUUUUAGAAAGGAAGUGAGUAAACGUAGUUCUGUUAGUCGGGAACAUUGCUCCCACUAGCAAAAAUCAAGAUACUGUUAGAAGGAAGAAAGGGAGAAUGAAUGUUGGAUAAGUAAAAAGCAGUAUCUUCUCCAGGUGGUCAAGAGGCAUUUAGCUAGUAAACAGGCUUCCAAUGGAACUGGCCCCAGCUGAUCCCUAGUGCGGUGGUUCUUACGUGUCCUCUCCUGCUCCAGAACAGCUGCAUCAUGUGAGAACUUAGGGGAAAUGAAAUUCUCGGGGUCCACUGUAGGCCAGCUGCUUAGCAACUCUGGGGAUUUGACCCAGGAAUCUGUGCUUUAACAAGCCCUCCAGGUGCUUCUGGUGCCCAUGAAAUUUGAGAACUACCGUCCUAGUGCAGCGGUUCCCAAUCAAUAGCAUGCAUUAAAAUCACCUAUAGAGUUUUUUUUGUAAACUAUGUAAGCCUAGAGCCCUAUUAUAGAAGAUUCUGGUUAAGGAGGUCUGGUAUGAGCUUCUUAUAUCUAUAGAGUAGAACCCUGUUAUUCAUGGUUUCACUUUCCACAGUUUCAGUUACCCGUGGUCAACCAUGGCCCAAAAAUAUAAAAUGGAAAAUUCCAGAAAUAAACAAUUUAUCAGUUUUAAAUUGUAUGGUACCUUAAAGAGCAGUGUUGCAAAAAUCAAAAAAUAAAAAGUUUUAAAUUGUAUGCCAUUCUGAGUAGUAUGAUGAAAUAUUACAGUAUAUUGUUAUAAUUAUGCUAUUUUAUUGUUAAUCUCUUACUGUGCCUAAUUUAUAAAUUAAACUUUAUCUUUCUAUAUAUGGAAAAACAGUAUAGAUAGAGUUCGGUACUAUCCACAGUUUCAGGCAUCCACUGGGGGAACUGGAACAUAUUCCCCACUUAUAAGGGGGCACUACUGUAUUUUAUGUUGCAGGUGAUUCUGAUAUUCUGAUAUGGCUGAUAGUUAGACUAACAUUUAGAAACCACUGUCUCAGUGAGUAGGGGCACACUAGACUUUUUUAAAACUUAUAAAAGAACCUAUCAACAUAGUAAACAGAUAACCUACAGAAUGGGAGAAAAUUUGGGCAGACUAUGCUUCUGACAAAAGUCUAAUAUCCAGCAUUUAUACAAAACUUAAACAAAUUUACCAAAAAAAAAACAACCUCCAUCAAAAAGUGGGCAAAGGACAUGAACAGACACUUCUCAAAAGAAGACAUACACCAGACUUUUUAGAAGUCGGCUUUGGUUCUGCUUUUGAGGAAAGCCUAGACCCUGUGAGCAGACCAGCAAAGGGAUUGUUUUGCUUUCAGGAUUUAGCUGACAGUUGGAAGCAGCGGCAGCCUCUUAACUUUGAAGGGAUCAAUAGCCUCUCUGGAUGGAUUUAACUGUAGCCAAGGGUUGUUACACUUCCAAAGGAGUUCCAGUCUCUGAAUGGGGGAAUCUUUGGCUUCUCUGGAAGGAGCCAGCCAUGACCUGAUUAAUUACCCAGAUUUUUUGGGGGGGAAGUCUCAAUGUUGAGGCUGCCAUUUGCCCUCCCAGGGAGGAGAGGCCUGAGAUAUAUGGUAUGCAUGUAUUGCAUGGAUGCUGAGGGUAACAAGGAGAGAGGCUCUGGGUUUCUUGCAGCUUAAAAUAGUUAUCUGCAGGUUCAUCAAAUCUGCACUCACCAUUUGUCAUGGUCAUGUGGCUCAGAGGUGUACAGGAGACCAACUCUUGUCGUUCUCCCUGUGGGCUGUGUAAGUGCUUUGAGGGCCUGAGCUUAUCAGGGACUUUUGUAUCUCCAGCUGCUAACAUAUUGCAGGCUUUUAGUCUGUUGAGUAAAUGCAUGUGGGAAUAUAUCAUGAAUGGGGACAGUGGACCUCCAUACCCUCUCUCUUUUUAUAUGGCUGAAAUGUCUCAAUGACCUGAUGAGAGUGAGCCCUGCUUUCAGGUACCACAUCUCACCCUUCCCUCCACCUGCCAGUUGCCAGAAAAGUCCACUACAGCAUCCCAAAAAUGUGAACAAUUAUUAUGUGUCAGUUAAAAAGGCCACUUCCACCAGCAUCUUCUUUCAUUGCUGUUUAUUCAAGUAAAACCUGAAAUAUGUGCAAGUGGAAAGCAAAUGGUUUGCAUGGAUUCUUUUCUUCCUUCUCAAACCUGAUAUUUCAGAAGUCUCUACAUUCAUCGUAAAAACAUCAUGAAAAUAUAAGAGGCCUUAAGCUAUCAAAUUGUAAUUCUUUAUGGCCCAGUUAGUAUUUCAUCAGCAUUGGUUGUUUUCUUAGAUAAAAGAAUCUUGGAUAAGGAGCAAUUUCACAUUCCCUCCCAUAUCCCGUCGUAGUGGGGCAUAUGUUCAUUGCUAGAUUCUAAGGGAGUUACAGGUUCAUAGGUCUUUCUCUUUCUCAAGUACAGUGCCAGCUCCACCUUUCUUCAGAUAGGCUGCCUUUUGAAUCUGAAAAGUAACAAGCUUAAUGACUUAAGGACUCUAUUUAAUGUGAUUUAUCCCACUUUAUAUAGGCACUUAUAAAAUCAUUUGUCGAACACUCUAGGAUUAUUUUAGAUUAAUUUAUUUUGGAUAAAUUGGUUAAUUAAGUAUGGAAAAUCCAUAUAAAAUAAAUAGACACAAUCAUUGGACUAAAAGUGACCUUAUAGGCGUCAUUUAAGAAUCUCCAGGCAUUCUGUCUCAGCACUUUUUGUAUCUUCUCUACCUAUUCCCUGGGAAAUGGUUCUCACACAGUAGCACAAUUCCCUGGAUGGCUUUUUAAUUUUUUUUUUUAAUUUUUUUGAGACAGAGUCUCACUCUGUCACCCAGGCUGGAAUGUAGUGGCAUGAUCACAGCUCACUGCAACCUCGACCUCCCAGGCUCAAGUGAUCCCUCCUCAGUCUCCCUAGCAGCUAGGACCACAGGCAUGCACCGUCAUGCCCCACUAAUUUUUUUUUUCUUUUGUAGAGACAGGGUCCCCCUGUGUUGCCCAGGCUGCUCUAGAACUCCUGGGCUCAAGCAAUCGUCCCACCUUGGUCUCUCAAAGUGUUGGAAAUUACAGGUGUGAGCCACCAUGCCUGGCCAGGCUUUUUUAAAAUACGGAUUGCUGGGCUAUACUCCACAGUGUCUAAUUCAGUAGACCUGAGAUAGAGCCUGAGAAUUUGCAUUCUAACAAGUUCCCAGUUAGUGCUGAUGCUAUUGGUUUAGAGUACCACACUUGGAGAGCCACUGUUCUAAGCCAAAAAACACUGUGCACUCUCCAUUAAGUCAAGUUGUUCUCUUGAUUAAUUUUUGUCAAGCUGUUGUCAGAUUUGGAAUUUCACAGACCUGGAACAUUUCAAAAAAAAAAAAAAAAAAGCCAAACAGUAACAAAACCCACUUUGGGGAUAGACAUAAUGAUAAAGUUUUAAAAAUUUAACAAAUGAAACAUUAGAAAAAUUUGUUUCCCGUCAUCAUCGUUUUGUUUUAAAAGGAUAUUUAAUCACCAACAGCAUUUUAUCAUAGAAUAAUGGACUGUCUCUUCAACUGAAUAAAUUCAGCUUUACCUGAAGCUCACUUUAUUGCUAUGGCAUGCCAAAGACAUGAUGGUCAAAGCAGUCCACUUCAGGCAUAGGCAAAACAGCGUUGCAUCUUCUGUAGAUCAUUUUAAAACAAUAAUAGAAUCCACUAAUAGUUUGUCUGCUUUUCAUUAUCACCAUAAACAGGCAGUUCCAAACAAUGUCAGUGAGAAAAUACUGCCCCUUCCCCAGGGUGGACUACUCCUGCCAACCCUUGCUUCAUCACUGCUUUGUUGCCUUCAUUUUUCCCAUUUUGCCAGAAAGCAGUGAAAUGUCAUCCCAGACCCUCACCAUCUGGUGGUUGGGAGCAACUGGGCUAAGUUACACAUGCUUAUGGAGUCUUUGAUAAUUUUAUUCAAACUUGAUAUGGAAAACAUAUAUCACAUUUCACAGGUCAAAGAGGAAUGUAAACUAGUUGAGUCCCGCGAGUGGUGAUUUUAUCUAUGUUAAAGAAAUUUGGGCCAGGUGCUGUGGUAAUCCCAGCACUUUGGGAGGCUGAGGCAGAAGGAUUGCUUGAGCCAAGGAGUUCGAGACCAGCCUGGACAACACAGCAAGACCCUGUCUCUAUCUUAAAAAAAUUUUUUUUAAUUAUACAAAUUUUAAAAACAUAUUUUAAAAAUAAAGAAAAAAUUCUUUAUAAUUAUUUGGAGAAAUAGAGUAUUCUUUAACACUUAUACAUAAGCACAAGUAUUUUUAAAAAUAUUUAUUUAACUAGGACUAAUGGACAAAGGUAGAAAAUUCUGAUUUUUGUUUUUUUUUUUUAGACAGAGUCUUGCUCUGGCUUGAUCUCAGCUCACUGCAACCUCCAUUUCCUGGGUUCAAGCAAUUCUUCUGCCUCAGCCUCCUGAGUAGCUGGGACUGCAGGUGCACACUACCAUGCCCAGCUAAUUUUUGUAUUUUUAGUAGAGAUGGUGUUUCACCAUAUUGGCCAGGCUGGUCUCGAACUCCUGAUCUGCUCACCUCGGCCUCCCAAAGUGCUGGGAUUACAGGCGUGAGCCACCGUGCUCGGCCUCUGAUUUUCAAAUUCAAAAUAAAAAGCCAGAGUUUUUUUUAUAAUAUUGAGUUCUUCAAUAUAACGUGAGGAAUUAAAAAUUAAUUUUAUCUCCUUAAUCCAUGGCUUAAUUUUAAGUUAACUACCACGUGUUAUUUUAUUUAAAUUUCAUUCAUUCAUUGAUAGGAAUGUGCAGUCAUUUCACCAGGUGCUGUUUUGAAGAUACACAUUUCUGCCCAGCACAGUGGCUCACACUUGUAAUCCCAACACUUUCGGAGGCUGAGGUAAGAGAAUCACCUGAGCCCAGGAGUUUGAGACCAGCCUGGGCAACGUGGCAAGACCCAGUCUCUAAAGAAAUACAAAAAUUAGCCAGGUGUAGUGGCAUGUACCUGUGGUCUCAGCUACUCCAAAGGCUAAGGCAGGAAGAUUGCUUGAGCCUGGGAGGUCAAAGUUGCCAUGAGCUAUGAUCAUGCCACUGUACUCCAGCUGAGUGAGAGAGUGAGAUUCUGUUUCAAAAAAUAAAACGUGAUUAUCCCUAUUUGGCUGGGCACAAUAGCUCACACCUGUAAUUCCAACACUUUGAGAGACCAAGGCAAGAAGAUCACUUGAGCCCAGGAGUUCAAGACCAGUCUGGGCAACAGAGGGAGAUGUCUCUACAAAAAAAAAAAAAAAAAAAAAAAUUAGCCAAGCAUGCUGGCAGGUGUUUAAAGUCUUAGCUAGUCAGGAGGCUGAGGUGGGAGGAUCUCUUGAGGCUGGGAGGUUCGAGAUUGCAGUGAGCCAUGAUCACAUCACUGUACUCCAGCUUGGGUGACAGAACAAAACUUUGUCUCAAAGAAAAAGAAAAGUAGAGAGUUUAGAUGGAAAAGAUAAAAAGACAUGUAAAAUUAAAUUGUAAUAUAAAAUUAAACACCAGCAUAAGAGAAUGUUGCCAGAUAGUGUAUGAUGAAGUGUUAGAAACACUAAGUAUGAGAGUUCAAUGGAGAGCAGUAUGACUGUGGCUGAAGGGGGUCAGGGAAAUUUCAUGAAAUAAAUUUCAUGAAUUUAAUGAAAUGGCAUUUGAAGAAUAUGGCAGAUUUUUAUACAUACAGAAAAAGAACAUGGCAGGCUAGUUUUAGAAGACACUGAGUUCGUCUGGUUGAAGUGGAGGGUUCCUUUGGUAGAGUAUGGGAAAUAAAUUUGGAAAUGUAAAUUAGAGCUAGACUGUGGAGACUUUGGAAAGCUUUCUGAUGGCAACAAUGAACAUUGUGAUAAUGGUGAUAAAAAUAAUAACUUUACUAAGCAAUAUAUACCAGGUACUAUGCCAAAUUGUUUACCUGCAUUACCUAAAAACUCUAUUGAAUAGUUUCUAUUAUCUCCAUUUUAUAUGCUAAGAGAGUGAGGCUCCCACAGGUGAAAUGACUUGGCCAGGAUCACACCACCAAUGAGUGGCAGAGAGCUGAAAUUUGAACCCAAGUUUGUCUAAGUCCAAAACCAGUGUUUCUAUACAGCAAACUAGGUCAAGGAUGAAAAAAGUGUUUCAAUUCAAGUGCCAGUUUUUGAUUUAUUGAUAAAACUACAACCAAAUAGAAAAAAAAAAUCACCAUGAUGGAUUACUGAUGUUUGCUGUAAAUGCGGGAUGAGAUUUUCUUGGUAUGUAUGACACACAGUGGCUACUUAGGCUCUAGAAAACUGGAAGCCAUCAAAGGUUUUUGAACAGGGCAGUGACUUGAUAAAGUUCCCAAAACUUUAACCAAGCAGCAGAGUUUAAGGUGAGUAGAUAAUAGGAGUAAUGGAAGCGUAUACUCUGAUCAUCCAGUAACAAGUCUUAAGGACCUGGUAGUCUAAAAUAAGACCAUUCAGAAAUUUUCUUCUCCUUCAAGUGAUCAAUUUCUACUAUCAAGGUGUAAUUCUUUGAAUAGUAUCUAUCUCCUCCCCUGACCUCUAUGAUCCAUGAGAACAGUGACCUUCUGUGUUUUGUUCAUUCCUCAAUUCUCCAGUGGGUAGGCAUUCAAUAUAGUUUUCUUAAAUCCAGUAAUAAUAAAAGCAAUAAUGAUCAUAGAAAGCACUCGCUUUGUGCCCAGACUGGGUUAAGUACUUUCAGUAGAGCAAAUGCAUAUGGAAUCAGACUACCUGGGUUUGAAUUCUAGCUCUGCCACUUACUAGCUGUCCAAGCAAGCAGGUUAAACUCUUGUGCCUGAAUUGCCUCAUCUUUAUGGUGGGGAUAAUAAUAGUACUUACCUCAGAGAGCAGCAGCAAGAAAUAGAUUAGGUGAUAUAGGUAAAUCAAUAAGAAUAGGAAGUAUUCAAUUAAAUAUUGGUUAUUAUAAUUAUCUUUUUAAAUUAUUAUCUUUACCAUUCUAUACUUAACUUGUCCAUUAGAAAAUAAAUAUAGUAGAGCCAAAGGAAAGGCUAUAACUUCUAUGGCAGCCCUGUUUCUUGUCAGGCCUGUUAGGCUCUUUUAUAAAUGAUAUCCCAGCUAAGUUAAAACUCCAAUUUCACUGUCAGAACCUACUUAAUUAUCUUUUUACCAAAUACAAAACCCACACAAAUCUGGAUUUUUUUUUCUUUUCAACUGAUUAUGGGCUUUAACAAAUCUGGUUUCAAAUAAUGUAUUUUUAAAGAUAAAUUGAAAAUUUAUCAUGGGAGGGCUUCCAUGAGAAUGCAAGGCAGGCUGAGGAGGCAGGCUUCAGAUCAGGUCAUGUAGGGGCAAUGAACCCGAGGGAGGAGGCAGAUGGAUAGAGGACACAGACAGAGGGAGGGGGUCUGCAGAGGGAAGGAAAUACUGACUGAGGUCUGGAAUGACCAUCUCUACCAAGAGACACUCUGCCUCCCACAGGGUGUCCAGACACUGGUGCACACAUUCCUACCUAAGGGCCUGGGCUGGCACAGCCCUGAAGAAGGUGGCACCCACUCUGGCAGUCAGUGGGUCUGGCCUGGCAGAAGGAUCAUCACAGGCUUCAGGGGGCUGGACAGCCUGGGGGGACUAGCGGAGGUCAUCUCUUCCAGCCUCCUGCCCUCAACCAAGUCCAGCUCUGAGCCCUGGGUCACCCAGGGCCACCCUGGAUUCAUUGGAAUCCCUCCACCACCAGUAGGUCAAGUUCUGUAGAGGUCUGAGGAUGGUGGUCAGCUGGGGAGUCAGCAGAGGGUGAAGAGGGUCACAGUUCUACCAAAGCCUUGUCCAGUCAUCCUCCAUAGGGGAUGGAGGCCUCUUCCGUGAUCUCCCACUCCAUCCUGCCACUUCACUCAUUUCAUCAGCUGCUCCUGAAGCACCCGGGACUCAGGACUGGUUUUAUCUUCCAAGGCCUUGGUGAAGGGCUGGCCCAGGAUCUGCAGCCACACCUCAUACAGCACCAGCUCUGCCUUCCCACCUAGAGCAGUGAGGGUGGAGAUGGCAUCAGCCUUGGCCCCCUCUCCUGGAAGCCCUGGGGUGGGACUCAAACCCAAGCUCUAAUGCUCCAAUCCAGCAGUCAGCCAACGUUAGUCUAAGGGCCCAUCCCUUGCAGCCUGUUUUUGUGCGGCCCAUGAGCUGAGAAUGGCUUUCACAUGUUUAAAUGGUUGAAAAACAUCAAAAGUAGAAUAAUAUUUUGUGACACUUGAAAAGUAUGUGAUAUGCAAAUUUCAAUGUCCAUAAAUAAAGUUUUACAGGAACAUAGCGGGGAAAAGGCUUUUAUUCUUUUAGUGUAGCCUUUUAUGUUUGAAGAACAAAUUAUAUUGCCUUGCAAGAAAUUCAAAGGUCAGUACCCAGGUGCUAGCCUCUGUACCAUGCCUAUCUGAACUUGCUCCUCUUUUUUUUUUUUUUUUUUUUUUUCCUUUUCCAGCCUCUCUUCUCAUCAUAUAAACCCUCUUGUCUGUCACCUGGCGGUACAAUUAAACUCAUGGAUGAUUCCCUUUUGUAGCUGAAGUUUGAGAGGCAAAAGUUAGCUGGUUAGUAGGAAGGAAGUGAGAAUACGUGUUUUUUCUAGACAACCAAAAUAUCCCUUUGCCUACUGUUUAUUAAAAACAAAUAAAAUCAAAAUCUUGUUCCAUCACCACUAAGCAAUGCUUGUCUCUAUUUUGUAGGUCUUUACUAUGAUGAUCUUCAGUAAUGUUAAUAUAUUGAGUUUGGCCAAUUCUUGAUCUUUUUUCAUAAUGGAGAAAUUAAGGGGUUAGCAAGGGCCCUUGAAAUCCAGAGAGAUACUAGCAACUAUUUGUCCAUUAAUUGCAACGUAUUUACAAUACACCUUACCUUUUUUAUAACAAGUAUACAGAUAGACUAGCUUGCCCUUAGACUCUUAAAUAUAUUUUUCUCAGCUAUCUUAUAAAACACAAAAAUAUUUCUUAUGGGCUUAAUAUGCACACAUACACAUACAGACAUACAGAGUAAAUUAGAGACAAUAUAUAUACAUAUUGUAAACUAGAGACAGAGGCUCAUUCUGUAACCCAGGCUAGAGUACAGUGGUGCAAUCAUAGCUCAAUGCAGCCUUGAAUUCCUGUGUUCUGGCAGUCCUCCACUGUCAGCCUCCAAGUAGCUGGGACUACAGGCAUGCACCACCAUGCCCAGCUAAUAAAAUAAGUAUUUUAUAAUUGAAUGAAAGUGAUUAAGAAUCAUGAAGGGACCCAAAGUCAUAAACUAGAAAGAUGUUAAAAGACUGGCUCAUAUCAGAACUGUAUAAUCCGAAUUCAGUAAGUCAGUAUCACAGUAAUCUCCCCUUAUCCGCAGUUUUGCUUUCCAUUGGUCCCAGUUACUCUCAAUCAACUGUACUUCAAAAAUAUUUAAUGGAAUGUUCCAGAAAUAAGCAAUUCGUAAGUUUUAAAUUGCACACCAUUCUGAGUAGCAUGAUGCAAUCUCAUGCUGUUCUGCUUUGACCCUUCUUCAUCACAAGAAGGAUGAAUACAGUACUUCAGAUGUUUUAAGAGAAAGACCACAUUCACAACAUAACUUUAAUUACAGCAUAUUGUUAUAACUGUUCUAUUGUAUUAUUAGUUACUGUUUUUGAUCCCUUAACUGUGUGUAAUUUAUAAAUUCAACUUUAUCAUAGGUAUGUUUGUAUAAGAAAAAACAUAGUAUAUGUAGGGUUUGGUACUAUAUGUGGUUUCAGGUAUCCGCUGGGGGUUUGGGAUGUAUCCCGUAGGGAUAAGGGGGAAAUACUGUAAUAACCAAAUAUAAUCCUCUAGCAGGAGAGAGAAAUGUGUAACUAAAAUAUUAACCUCUCUUAGUUAAAUAUUAUUUAUUUAUUUUUUAUUAUUUUUGAGACGGAGUCUCAUUCUGUCACCCAGGCUGGAGUGCAGUGGCAGGAUCUUGGCUCAUUGCAACCUCUGCCUCCCAGGUUCAAGCAAAUCUCCUGCCUUGGCCUCCCCAGUAGCUGGGACUACAGAAUAGUCUACUGUAUCAGUGAGUGGUAUCUCCCAUUCUGUCAUUACCACUAUGGUCUGAGCAAGAGUAGAGGAUGGAAUGAGGCUACAAUGAGGCUACCUAUGGAUUCUCGGUGGGUAGUUUUAAAAACUUUGCCUCCAUGGAAGCUUCUGAUAAUGCUUCUGUCCUCACCUCUACCCCGCCUCCCACUGUGCUGCUGUAACUGGCCUUAUGACAACAAAUGAAUCUGGCAUAAGAGAGAAGAGCAGCAGAGUAAGUGAAACAGAAUUGUGUGAAUUAGCCGUCUCGUUGGAUUCUACCCAAUCACACUGUGAAAAUCCAUUAUGCAUUAUGCUUAUAUUCCAUUGUGUAAUGAAUGGUAAUUGUUCUAAUGAUAAAUACUGGUCCCUUUUGGUACCAACCUUAGAGUUAGAAAUAGCUUAAUCUGUUGAGUAAAUGAAUAAAAACCGCAAGUUUAAACCAGCAAAAAUAAUUUCUUUGCUUGGAAUAUCAGUGUACAUAUCUUUCCGUGCAAAGUUCUCCACUUUUCUCAUUACCCAUUAACUUGUUGGUUACUCUACAAUCACCAUCUGAGAGCUAAAAUCUGCUGCUUACUAUUCACAAGGCAGAGAGAAUUAUAAAACAUUAUACAAUAGUAGCACACAGCAUAGCUUUGAAUCUUUCCAUAAAGUCAUCAUAAUGGUACAUUUUCUGAGUAUUGCCUUCAGAUUGUUUUAAUAAAGAAUUCAUUGUUCUAGUGUUUACAUGAUGAUUUUCUGUAACAGAAACCGAUACUGACAUUGAUACCUUAGGCUAACGCAAUUUUUAGUCAUUUUACUGGGGUAAAAAUAACUUUGUUGUAUAAUAAACAAAUUGCUCAAGCAAUCCUCCUGCUUCAGCUUCCAGUAAUUGGAAUGGUAGGUGCAUGCCACGGUGCCUGGCUUCUUCUACCAUUGAUAAUUUUGGUCCUUCUCAGGUUAACAUACAUUUAUUGAAGGCCUGUUUGUGCCAUUCACUGUUCUAGGCACUGCAGCUAAAUAAGACACACUCCUCAUUCUCAAAAAAUUUAACGUUCUCCAGGAAAAAUUGUUAUCAAAAUUGACAUCAGAAACUAAAUGCUAGGAGAUUGAUCCUUCCUGGGUUUCAUGAAAUCCCCUAUCAGGAAGUAAAUGCUAGGAGGUUGAUCCUUAUUGGGUUUCAGCACAAGAAUCAGAUGAGCCUCCUGUUAGAUAUGAAAUCUGCUCCAAGUAUUGGAGGAUAGGUUAAAAAAACAAAACAUAGAAUAGUAUUCCAGGCUGAAGAAAUAGUGUGUAUGUUGUAUAAUAUAUUCUCUUGUAAUGGCCUUUGUGGAUAAUUACACAUUGCAAGUAUUCAAUUUUAUUUGCUGGUAUUCCAGUUUGUUUUCUCAUUUGAGGGAUAUUAUGUAUCCAUUCUCUUAGCUCUUUACCUUGGUUUUUUGUUUUUGUCUUUGUUUCCCGAGAUGGAGUCUCACUAUGUCGCCCAGGCUAGAGUGUAGUAGCUACUCAUAGGAGCAAUCCCUAAUUCCAUGUAGGGAAACUACAUGGAAUUUGAUAUAGCAGAGUUUAAAAAGACAUUAGAGAAUUGCAGAUGAGCAUGGAAAGGUAGCUAAGGCUCAAGUCAUAUGAUUAUUUUAUGCCAAAUUUAGGAGUUUGAAAUUUACUCAUAGGGUUAGUCCAUGGACUGACUGGGCUGAAAUUGCAAAAUAUUCAUUCUGGGGGGGAAAUGGUCCAUAGCUUAUUAGAUCUCAAAGUUGUCCACAAUAAAAAAAAAAAAUUGUUAAGAAUAUUGCAGUGAAAAGUUUAAGUAAAUGCUCAUACUGUUCACUAAUUAGAGUGAAGUAAGGCAUUACCAUAUCCAUGUUUCAUAUUACAAGAAAUGUGAUGUACAGAGCUGUCAGUGCAAUGAAUGGAAGUUGCCAGGAAGACUUCUGUAGCCAAAACUAAACCAUAAAUUCAUUCAUUGAACAUUUCACUGAACUUUUCCUAUACACCAGAAACUGGUAAGCACUGAGGAGACAGUAAUGAACAAGAGCUCCUAUUCAGACACACAUUCCAUUCAGGGCUCAUAGUCUAAUGAGGAAGGCAGACAUUAAUCAGAUAAUCACAAAAAGAAAUGGACAAGUACAAACUCUGAUUAUUGCUCUGUAGUAAAAGACAGGAUGAGUUGUAAUCGGGGAACCUGGUGUAGAUGGGGGAUUAAGAAAGGUUUUCUUUAGCAAAUGGCAUUUGAACUGAGGCCUGAAAUGAGUGUCAGCUAAGGAAGAAGGUAAAUGACUCCAGGCCGAGAAAAUAGCACUUGCUAAAGCCCUUAUGCGGGGAAUUGGUUGGUGUGUUUUAGAAAAGGAAAGAAGAAAUAUAAAAUGCAAACAAAAAAAAAUAGCCUGAGAUGACACUAGAGAAAUAGAGAUUGGGCCAUGCAGGGCUUUGUGGGCUAUUUUAAGAAUAUGGAUCUUUAUCCUCAAAAUGUCAGGAGGCAACCCUUGAGGGGAAUGGGCAUUGACAUAAUCAGGUUUAUAGUUUUUAAGAGGUCUCUCCAGUUACCAUGUGGAAAAUGGACUGAAGGGGGUCAGGUUGGGAUAGAUUUAUUAAAUAAUAGUGUAACAACUGAAAAUACAUUGAUACCAUGUACUUUAAUUUAUGGGUUGUUAUAAAUUCAUAAAAUGUGUCUAGGCAUUAGUUUCUCCAUGUGGAAAAUGAUGAGGCUGAACUUGUAAUUCUCAAAGCUUGGACUCCCCCGCAAAUGAGCUGAAUAAUUGAUCCUCUGAGACCUGGAGGCAGCAGCUCCAAUCCUUAACCACUUCCUGUGCCGGCUCCAGGAUGCCAUGCGAGAAUGAGCAUUUUCUAGGUGCACCAUGAGGUGACAAAGAUUGAGAGGCCCUCCUCUAAACCCCUUUCCUGCACUAACAUUCCAUGAUUCUAGGUUUUGAGGAAAUCAAAUUCUAAUCUGACACCUUGGUUUUACCAUUGAGGAAAGUGUUGCCCAAAGAAGGAAAGUGGCUCACCUAAAAUUGCAUGGCUUAGUGGAUAGAACAUUACUCUCCUAACUAGUAAUCCUGGGUUUUUCUAGUUUGCCAUACUGUCUCUAUAUCCUUUGUAAGCAGUGUAAUGAAUUAUUAUAAUUAUCAAAUUCCA